GUAUUCAAUUUUAAACGGUUAUUCAAAGCAAAUGUAUAGCAAACGGCAUUUGCGUAGGCUCAAUAAAGAAAUAUAAGACAAAUAUGCAGCCAAACAUAAUCGUGCUAGCGGAGAAACAGUGUCGUGCAGUGAAAUAGAAAAAGUUGAAGGCCGCGAAAUAGGAGAGACAAUCGACGAAAAUUAAACAAAUGGAAAGUGACACUGAAAAAUUUAAAGAACUUCUUUAGAGUUUUGAUUGAUGCCAUAACUGUAGGUACGGGGACUGGAUCAGCUGAAGUCCAGAUUAGGAAAGCCCUACAGCUGCAAAAAAAACGUUUUUUCAAAAACAGUACCACC